CACGUAGGGCGCAAGCGUUGUCCGGAAUUAUUGGGCGUAAAGAGCUCGUAGGCGGUCUGUUGCGUCCGCUGUGAAAACCCGGGGCUUAACCCUGGGCUGGCAGUGGAUACGGACAGACUAGAGGUAGGUAGGGGAGAAUGGAAUUCCCGGUGUAGCGGUGAAAUGCGCAGAUAUCGGGAGGAACACCGGUGGCGAAGGCGGUUCUCUGGGCCUUACCUGACGCUGAGGUGCGAAAGCGUGGGGAGCAAACAGG
rnacentral:rRNA from 1 species